CCUACGGGAGACAGCAGUGAGGAAUAUUGGUCAAUGGGCGCGAGCCUGAACCAGCCAAGUCGCGUGAGGGAGGACUGCCCUACGGGUUGUCAACCUCUUUUGCCGGGGAGCAACGGGCGUCACGUGUGGCGCCACUGAGAGUACCCGGAGAAAAGGCAUCGGCUAACUCCGUGCCAGCAGCCGCGGUAAUACGGAGGAUGCGAGGGUUAUCAGGAUUUAUUGGGUUUAAAGGGUGCGUAGGGGGUGCGUUAAGUCAGUGGGCAAAUUUAGGGGCUCAACCCCUUCCCGCCAUUGAAACUGGCGCUCUUGAGUGGAAGAGAAGUAUGCGGAAUGCGUGGUGUAGCGGUGAAAUGCAUAGAUAUCACGCAGAACCCCGAUUGCGAAGGCAGCAUGCCGGCUUCCGACUGACGCUGAAGCACGAAAGCGUGGGGAUCGAACAGGAUUAGAUACCCUUGUAGUC
rnacentral:rRNA from 1 species